AGUGAACGCUGGCGGCGUACCUAAUACAUGCAAGUCGAACGGAGUGGCGCACGGGUGAGUAAUGUAUAGCUAAUCUGCCCUACACUAGAGGACAACAGUUGGAAAAGACUGCUAAUACUCUAUAGUGUAGGAUGAGGCUAUAUUGUAUCAGCUAGUUGGUGAGGUAAUGGCUCACCAAGGCUAUGACGCAUAACUGGUCUGAGAGGAUGAGCAGUAAAACUGGAACUGAGGCACGGUCCAGACUCCUUCGGGAGGCAGCAGUAGGGAAGAGUGCUCAAUGGGGGAAACUCUGAAGCAGCAUCGCCGCGUGGAGGACUACACUUUUCGGAGCGUAAACUCCUUUUGUUAGGGAAGCGGUACCUAACGAAUAAGCACCGGCUAACUCCGUGCCAGCAGCCGCGGUAAUUC
rnacentral:rRNA from 1 species